rnacentral:rRNA from 1 species
AGAGUUUGAUCAUGGCUCAGAUUGAACGCUGGCGGCAGGCCUAACACAUGCAAGUCGAACGGUAACAGGAAGCAGCUUGCUGCUUCGCUGACGAGUGGCGGACGGGUGAGUAAUGUCUGGGAAACUGCCUGAUGGAGGGGGAUAACUACUGGAAACGGUGGCUAAUACCGCAUAACGUCGCAAGACCAAAGAGGGGGACCUUCGGGCCUCUUGCCAUCAGAUGUGCCCAGAUGGGAUUAGCUGUUGGAGUUGGUGAGGUAACGGCUCACCAAGGCGACGAUCCCUAGCUGGUCUGAGAGGAUGACCAGCCACACUGGAACUGAGACACGGUCCAGACUCCUACGGGAGGCAGCAGUGGGGAAUAUUGCACAAUGGGCGCAAGCCUGAUGCAGCCAUGCCGCGUGUAUGAAGAAGGCCUUCGGGUUGUAAAGUACUUUCAGCGGGGAGGAAGGUGUUGUGGUUAAUAACCGCAGCAAUUGACGUUACCCGCAGAAGAAGCACCGGCUAACUCCGUGCCAGCAGCCGCGGUAAUACGGAGGGUGCAAGCGUUAAUCGGAAUUACUGGGCGUAAAGCGCACGCAGGCGGUCUGUCAAGUCGGAUGUGAAAUCCCCGGGCUCAACCUGGGAACUGCAUUCGAAACUGGCAGGCUUGAGUCUUGUAGAGGGGGGUAGAAUUCCAGGUGUAGCGGUGAAAUGCGUAGAGAUCUGGAGGAAUACCGGUGGCGAAGGCGGCCCCCUGGACAAAGACUGACGCUCAGGUGCGAAAGCGUGGGGAGCAAACAGGAUUAGAUACCCUGGUAGUCCACGCCGUAAACGAUGUCUACUUGGAGGUUGUGCCCUUGAGGCGUGGCUUCCGGAGCUAACGCGUUAAGUAGACCGCCUGGGGAGUACGGCCGCAAGGUUAAAACUCAAAUGAAUUGACGGGGGCCCGCACAAGCGGUGGAGCAUGUGGUUUAAUUCGAUGCAACGCGAAGAACCUUACCUGGUCUUGACAUCCACAGAACUUUCCAGAGAUGGACUGGUGCCUUCGGGAACUGUGAGACAGGUGCUGCAUGGCUGUCGUCAGCUCGUGUUGUGAAAUGUUGGGUUAAGUCCCGCAACGAGCGCAACCCUUAUCCUUUGUUGCCAGCGGUCCGGCCGGGAACUCAAAGGAGACUGCCAGUGAUAAACUGGAGGAAGGUGGGGAUGACGUCAAGUCAUCAUGGCCCUUACGACCAGGGCUACACACGUGCUACAAUGGCGCAUACAAAGAGAAGCGACCUCGCGAGAGCAAGCGGACCUCAUAAAGUGCGUCGUAGUCCGGAUUGGAGUCUGCAACUCGACUCCAUGAAGUCGGAAUCGCUAGUAAUCGUGGAUCAGAAUGCCACGGUGAAUACGUUCCCGGGCCUUGUACACACCGCCCGUCACACCAUGGGAGUGGGUUGCAAAAGAAGUAGGUAGCUUAACCUUCGGGAGGGCGCUUACCACUUUGUGAUUCAUGACUGGGGUGAAGUCGUAACAAGGUAACCGUAGGGGAACCUGCGGUUG